rnacentral:tRNA from 1 species
UCCUGGUUAGCUCAGUGGGCAGAGCGUUCCACUGUAAAUGGAGAGGACCUUGAUUUGAUGCCAGGACCAGGUG